CCAGAUUCGAAUGAAUAUGUCAAGAACACAUUAGACACCACACCACUGUACCAAGAUACCAAAUUCAUCACAUAGGAACACAAACAUCUCAAUAUUAACGUCAAGUUCUGCACUUCAGAACUCUGAACUGUACGUGAGACAACCUGUAGAAAGGAACAUUUAACAUUCUGCAGGACAUAACAGCAAGAUCCCACCAUGUAAGCUGCAUUUAAUGGGGAGACAGUACAAGUCAUCAGUACAAGGCAGCCAUAAAGAACCAGUAAAGUUGAGUUGAGUUACACAACCUACAAGAUAAGUCAUAAUUCUAUCCAGAACGAAAACCACCAGAACCGCGUCGUUCAUACGGCCCAGAGCGGUCACGGCUAUAUCGAUCACUUCCCGAACCUCCUCGGUCACCACUACCCCUAUUGCGCCCACCAGAU
rnacentral:misc_RNA from 1 species